rnacentral:rRNA from 1 species
UCAUGGCUCAGAUUAAACGCUGGCGGCAUGCCUUACACAUGCAAGUCGAACGGCAGCACGGGGGCAACCUGGCGACGAGUGGCGAACGGUGAGUAAAGCAUCGGAACGUGCCCUGGAAUGGGGGAUAACGUAGCGAAAGUUACGCUAAUACCGCAUAUUCUGUGAGCAGGAAAGCAGGGGAUCGCAAGACCUUGCGUUCUGGGAGCGGCCGAUGUCGGAUUAGCUAGUUGGUGGGUAAAGCCUACCAAGGCGACGAUCCGUAGCGGGUCUGAGAGGAUGAUCCGCCACACUGGGACUGAGACACGGCCCAGACUCCUACGGGAGGCAGCAGUGGGGAAUUUUGGACAAUGGGCGGAAGCCUGAUCCAGCCAUGCCGCGUGAGUGAAGAAGGCCUUCGGGUUGUAAAGCUCUUUCGGUGGGGAAGAAAUUGCACGGGUUAAUACCCUGUGUAGAUGACGGUACCCGACUAAGAAGCACCGGCUAACUACGUG